rnacentral:rRNA from 1 species
CCCGGGAGGCCCCCGAUUCUCCAGGUAAGGUUCCUUUCGGGAGGUGAACCGGCGGAGGGAUCAUUA